rnacentral:lncRNA from 1 species
UGGUGUUUGUUUGUUUCAGUGGCAAAUAUUUCAUGCAUUUUUAAAGACGAGAACCGUUUGGUUAUAAUUCAUCUUGGUUAUUUCUGCAGUGGAUUGACAUGGGUAAAGAACAUGAAAUCUAACUGCCACUUGCUUUUGAAAUAACGGUGUUUUGGAUAGGGACAAAAAAAUCCAAUUGAAAAACGGUCAUAGGGUUCUCAAUGUGCAGAGCGUGCUGCAAUUUACUGACAUGCGGCAAUAUAUUUAAUGUUCCCAUUCAGAAAGAAUGAGAAUUUAUACAUCCACAACCAAACUUAUUCACCUCUUUAGCAUGGGUUUUGCCAUUCAAGGUCCUUUUU